AAAAGUUACUGACCAGCUCUGUUGGGACAAGAGAAUGGUCUUGUUUUGGAAGGAAGACUGUCGUUUUGUCCCAAGAGAGCUGGUAGCAUGUUUCAGAAAUCUGCAAGUUUC
ensembl:miRNA